CCUACGGGGGGCUGCAGUGGGGAAUAUUGGACAAUGGGCGAAAGCCUGAUCCAGCCAUGCCGCGUGUGUGAAGAAGGCCUUCGGGUUGUAAAGCACUUUCAGUGGGGAAGAAAGCCUUGGGGCUAAUACCCUCGAGGAAGGACAUCACCCACAGAAGAAGCACCGGCUAACUCCGUGCCAGCAGCCGCGGUAAUACGGAGGGUGCGAGCGUUAAUCGGAAUUACUGGGCGUAAAGCGCGCGUAGGCGGUCUGAUAAGCCGGUUGUGAAAGCCCCGGGCUCAACCUGGGAACGGCAUCCGGAACUGUCAGGCUAGAGUGCAGGAGAGGAAGGGAGAAUUCCCGGUGUAGCGGUGAAAUGCGUAGAGAUCGGGAGGAAUACCAGUGGCGAAGGCGGCCUUCUGGACUGACACUGACGCUGAGGUGCGAAAGCGUGGGUAGCAAACAGGAUUAGAUACCCUAGUAGU
rnacentral:rRNA from 1 species